rnacentral:sRNA from 1 species
GAGGACUUCUCCGAUCUCAAGGAGCGGAUCGAGUUCGGCAAGCGGCUGUACGCGCUGCUGUUCGGAGUGCCCGGGGUGGCGGAGGGCGUCCUUGAGUUCGCCAAGAAAACCCGCCAUACCGGGUCGCGGAGCGACUACGCCCCUGCGAUGUACGCAUCUGUACGACGCUC